rnacentral:rRNA from 1 species
UCUUAGGCUAAUACGACCACAAGAUCGAUAGCAAAUAAGUACCUUGAGAAAGUUGAAAACAGCUUUGAAAAAAGAGUUCAAGAGUACGUGAAACCGUUUAGGGGUAAACCUAAGAAACCUAAAAUAUCGAACGAGAUUCAUCGUCAACGGCGUUGCUUUCGUUCGCGAGUUCUCUCGACUCGCGGCGCGGGCACAUUACCGUGCGCUGAUGUCCGGCGCUCGUCGUGCAUUUCUCCCCAAGAAGAACAUCGCGACCCGUUAGAUGUCGGUCUACGGCCCGGGUGCGAUGCCUGUCGCGUCGNCGGUAAAACGGCACGCGACAAACACCCGGUCGCCCGGCCAGCCGCAAGAUAUCAGGCCAUUUUACGGUGCGUCAAUACCGUCGCAAGCGCACGCCACGAUACUCGGAGGUUACGGACUUUGCGCCGUCCCCGGUCUUGGCCCGUUGUUGGUUACAGUACGGUACACCUUCGACAGACCUGCAAACGUCUCCCGCGGCGUUUGUCGAUCGAUACCGAUCGGCGACG